rfam:Schistosoma curassoni strain Dakar, Senegal genome assembly, scaffold: SCTD_scaffold0007261
AUCCGACUGACGAGUCACAAAUAGGACGAAACGCACGUUCUGGAU